rnacentral:rRNA from 2 species
UACGGAGGGUGCGAGCGUUAAUCGGAAUUACUGGGCGUAAAGCGUGCGUAGGCGGUUUGAUAAGUCGGGUGUGAAAGCCCCGGGCUUAACCUGGGAAUUGCAUUCGAUACUGUCUGACUCGAGUCUGGGAGAGGGAAGCGGAAUUCCGGGUGUAGCGGUGAAAUGCGUAGAUAUCCGGAGGAACAUCAGUGGCGAAGGCGGCUUCCUGGCCUAAGACUGACGCUGAGGUACGAAAGCGUGGGGAGCAAACAGG